rnacentral:lncRNA from 1 species
UCCUUCAAUCGGAGGAAGUCUUCUUUGUCGGUGGCAUCGACUUUGGUGUUUUCAUUCGGGCUCACCUUUAAAUUUUUCAAGUGGAAGGAAAGUCCAACGGUAAAAAAGAAGAGACAAAAAAGAAUUGAUUUUUCCAUCUAUAGAUGGAAGAAGGAAGAUCGGUAAUGAAGGACAGAUCCUCUUUCGGACUAAAGAACCACCAAUUCUCAGUCUUAGGGUGGGGGCGGAGUACAAAGAAGGGUCGGAAAAGUGACAUUCGAAGAUUGGUCGGAAGCAUAUGGCAAAACUAAUAAGAAGUCGAAUGGGGUUCGGAGUAAGUUGGUCCGGAUAGAUACUAUAAUAAUCCAAAACAUUUCGAACAAAGUCCAGAAUCGAAAAAUGA